rnacentral:rRNA from 1 species
GAUGAACGCUAGCUACAGGCUUAACACAUGCAAGUCGAGGGACCGGCGCACGGGUGAGUAACGCGUAUCCAACCUUCCCAUUACUGUGGGAUAACCUGCCGAAAGGCAGACUAAUACAGCAUGGUAAUGGAUGGGGGUGCGUCUGAUUAGCUUGUUGGCGGGGUAACGGCCCACCAAGGCGACGAUCAGUAGGGGUUCUGAUAGCAAGGUCCCCCACAUUGGAACUGAGACACGGUCCACACUCCUACGCGAGGCAGCAGUGAGGAAUAUUGGUCAAUGGGCGUGAGCCUGAACCAGCCAAGUAGCGUGCAGGAUGACGGCGUAUGGGUUUUAAACUGCUUUUGUAUGGGGAUCGGUACCAUACGAAUAAGGACCGGCUAACUCCGUGCCAGCAGCCGCGGUAAUAC